rnacentral:rRNA from 1 species
UACCCGCGGCAAGACGGAAAGACCCCGUGAACCUUUACUAUAGCUUGACACUGAACAUGGAGCCUUGAUGUGUAGGAUAGGUGGGAGGCAGUGAAUCGUGGACGCCAGUCUGCGAGGAGCCACCCUUGAAAUACCACCCUUUAAUGUUUGAUGUUCUAACUUUGCCCCGUGACCCGGGGUGAGGACAGUGUCUGGUGGGUAGUUUGACUGGGGCGGUCUCCUCCCAAAGAGUAACGGAGGAGCACGAAGGUUGGCUAAGUACGGUCGGACAUCGUACGGUUAGUGCAAUGGCAGAAGCCAGCUUAACUGCGAGACAGACACGUCGAGCAGAUACGAAAGUAGGUCAUAGUGAUCCGGUGGUUCUGAAUGGAAGGGCCAUCGCUCAACGGAUAAAAGGUACUCCGGGGAUAACAGGCUGAUACCGCCCAAGAGUUCAUAUCGACGGCGGUGUUUGGCACCUCGAUGUCGGCUCAUCACAUCCUGGGGCUGAAGUAGGUCCCAAGGGUAUGGCUGUUCGCCAUUUAAAGUGGUACGCGAGCUGGGUUUAGAACGUCGUGAGACAGUUCGGUCCCUAUCUGCCGUGGGCGUAGGAAGAUUGAGGAGGGCUACUUCUAGUACGAGAGGACCGAAGUGGACGUAUCACUGGUGUUCGGGUUGUCAUGCCAAUGGCAUUGCCCGGUAGCUAAAUACGGAAAAGAUAAGUGCUGAAAGCAUAUAAGCACGAAACUUGCUCCAAGAUUAAUCUUCCCUGAAACAGAAAUGUUUACUGAAGGGACGUUGAAGACUACAACGUUGAUAGGCUAGAUGUGUAAGCAUAGUGAUGUGUUGAGCUAACUAGUACUAAUGACCCAAGAGGCUUAACCUU